UGGGGAAUAUUGCACAAUGGGCGCAAGCCUGAUGCAGCCAUGCCGCGUGUAUGAAGAAGGCCUUCGGGUUGUAAAGUACUUUCAGCGAGGAGGAAGGCGUUGUGGUUAAUAACCGCAGCGAUUGACGUUACUCGCAGAAGAAGCACCGGCUAACUCCGUGCCAGCAGCCGCGGUAAUACGGAGGGUGCAAGCGUUAAUCGGAAUUACUGGGCGUAAAGCGCACGCAGGCGGUCUGUCAAGUCGGAUGUGAAAUCCCCGGGCUCAACCUGGGAACUGCAUCCGAAACUGGCAGGCUAGAGUCUUGUAGAGGGGGGUAGAAUUCCAGGUGUAGCGGUGAAAUGCGUAGAGAUCUGGAGGAAUACCGGUGGCGAAGGCGGCCCCCUGGACAAAGACUGACGCUCAGGUGCGAAAGCGUGGGGAGCAAACA
rnacentral:rRNA from 1 species